UACGGAGGGUGCGAGCGUUGUCCGGAAUCAUUGGGCGUAAAGGGCGCGUAGGUGGCCCGGUCAGUUCGUGGUGAAAGCGCGGGGCUCAACCCUGCGUCGGCCAUGAAUACUGCCGCGGCUGGAGCACUGUAGAGGCAGGCGGAAUUCCGGGUGUAGCGGUGGAAUGCGUAGAGAUCCGGAAGAACACCGGUGGCGAAGGCGGCCUGCUGGGCAGUUGCUGACACUGAGACGCGAAAGCUAGGGGAGCGAACGGG
rnacentral:rRNA from 1 species